GAGGGGUGGUUAUAAUCCACCUGAUGCAAUGCCAUUGAAUCAUCAUAUGCCCUGUUAUUACUGUUCUCUGGAAAUUGCAACAGUUGACUACAUGGUCUAAGCUUUCAGCAAACAGUCAUCUAAAGCUCAAAUAGUGGUGGGCAAAUGUCGAAAGGGCUUAUCUGGGUAACUGCAGAGGAUUUGGCAAGAAAUAGGGGAAAUAUGCUUUCAUUAUAUCGGCAAGUACUCAGGAGCCUCAAUUCUCCUAUUUUGCCCUUAAAUUUGGCAGCAAGAUUGCACAGGAAAGCACAAGCAUGUGCCAUUUUCAUGCUGGGCGCUGAGGAAAGAUCGAUCCACAACAUCAAAGAUCUCGUUGACAUUGCUGAGUAUUCUCUAUCGCUCUUGAGAAAAGGAGAAAUCCCAAAAUAUAUCCAGUAAAAAUGCCAUCUACUUGAUUCUGUUCAGACUUCAUAACAGGUUUGCUGUUAGGCGCAAGUACUAUUGCUCAUGAGAAUGUAGAUCUAGGAAGUUAUGGUACAUUAUUCAUUAAACCUACAGGUAAUUUAAAGUUUUUUUUUUUUUACCAAAGUUGUAAGAACACUUAUCAUAGUUAUAAUCUUUGAUCAGAUCCUGGGGUAAAACCGAAA